AGUGAACGCUGGCGGUAGGCCUAACACAUGCAAGUUGAACGGCAGCACAGUAAGAGCUUGCUCUUACGGGUGGCGAGUGGUGGACGGGUGAGGAAUACAUCGGAAUCUACUUUUUCGUGGGGGAUAACGUAGGGAAACUUACGCUAAUACCGCAUACGGCCUACGGGUGAAAGCAGGGGAUCUUCGGACCUUGCGCGAUUGAAUGAGCCGAUGUCGGAUUAGCUAGUUGGCGGGGUAAAGGCCCACCAAGGCGACGAUCCGUAGCUGGUCUGAGAGGAUGAUCAGCCACACUGGAACUGAGACACGGUCCAGACUCCUACGGGAGGCAGCAGUGGGGAAUAUUGGACAAUGGGCGCAAGCCUGAUCCAGCCAUACCGCGUGGGUGAAGAAGGCCUUCGGGUUGUAAAGCCCUUUUGUUGGGAAAGAAAAGCAGCAGGUUAAUACCCCGCUGUUCUGACGGUACCCAAAGAAUAAGCACCGGCUAACUUCGUG
rnacentral:rRNA from 1 species